AACGAACGCUGGCGGCAUGCCUAACACAUGCCAGUCGAACGAGACCUUCGGGUCUAGUGGCGCACGGGUGCGUAACGCGUGGGAACCUGCCCUUAGGUUCGGAAUAACUCCCCGAAAGGGGUGCUAAUACCGGAUAAUGUCUUCGGACCAAAGAUUUAUCGCCUUUGGAUGGGCCCGCGUUGGAUUAGCUAGUUGGUAGGGUAAAAGCCUACCAAGGCGACGAUCCAUAGCUGGUCUGAGAGGAUGAUCAGCAACACUGGGACUGAGACACGGCCCAGACUCCUACGGGAGGCAGCAGUGGGGAAUAUUGGACGAUGGGCGAAAGCCUGAUCCAGCAAUGCCGCGUGAGUGAUGAAGGCCUUAGGGUUGUAAAGCUCUUUUACCCGGGAUGAUAAUGACAGUACCGGGAGAAUAAGCUCCGGCUAACUCCGUG
rnacentral:rRNA from 1 species